GCUGGGUGUGGCGGUGCACGCCUGUAGUCCCAGCUACUUGGGAGGCUGAGGCAGGAGAAUUGCUUGAACCCGGGAGGCGGAGGCUGCAGUGAGCCAAGAUCACGCCACUGCACUCCAGCCUGGGUGACAGAGCGAGACUCUGUUUCAA
rnacentral:SRP_RNA from 2 species